rnacentral:rRNA from 1 species
UACGUAGGGUGCGAGCGUUAAUCGGAAUUACUGGGCGUAAAGCGUGCGUAGGCGGUUCGCUGUGUCCGAUGUGAAAGCCCCGGGCUUAACCUGGGAAUGGCAUUGGAAACUGGCGGGCUUGAGUGCGGCAGAGGGGGGUGGAAUUCCGCGUGUAGCAGUGAAAUGCGUAGAGAUGCGGAGGAACACCGAUGGCGAAGGCAGCUCACUGGGACGGUACUGACGCUGAGACGCGAAAGCGUGGGGAGCAAACAGG